rnacentral:rRNA from 1 species
AUAGCCAGCAACGUCUAUAAUGCAGUCGACGCUUCUUUCCUCCCGAGUGCUUGCACUCAAUUGGAAAGAGGAGUGGCGGACGGGUGAGUAACACGUGGGUAACCUACCCAUCAGAGGGGGAUAACACUUGGAAACAGGUGCUAAUACCGCAUAACAGUUUAUGCCGCAUGGCAUAAGAGUGAAAGGCGCUUUCGGGUGUCGCUGAUGGAUGGACCCGCGGUGCAUUAGCUAGUUGGUGAGGUAACGGCUCACCAAGGCCACGAUGCAUAGCCGACCUGAGAGGGUGAUCGGCCACACUGGGACUGAGACACGGCCCAGACUCCUACGGGAGGCAGCAGUAGGGAAUCUUCGGCAAUGGACGAAAGUCUGACCGAGCAACGCCGCGUGAGUGAAGAAGGUUUUCGGAUCGUAAAACUCUGUUGUUAGAGAAGAACAAGGACGUUAGUAACUGAACGUCCCCUGACGGUAUCUAACCAGAAAGCCACGGCUAACUACGUGCCAGCAGCCGCGGUAAUACGUAGGUGGCAAGCGUUGUCCGGAUUUAUUGGGCGUAAAGCGAGCGCAGGCGGUUUCUUAAGUCUGAUGUGAAAGCCCCCGGCUCAACCGGGGAGGGUCAUUGGAAACUGGGAGACUUGAGUGCAGAAGAGGAGAGUGGAAUUCCAUGUGUAGCGGUGAAAUGCGUAGAUAUAUGGAGGAACACCAGUGGCGAAGGCGGCUCUCUGGUCUGUAACUGACGCUGAGGCUCGAAAGCGUGGGGAGCAAACAGGAUUAGAUACCCUGGUAGUCCACGCCGUAAACGAUGAGUGCUAAGUGUUGGAGGGUUUCCGCCCUUCAGUGCUGCAGCAAACGCAUUAAGCACUCCGCCUGGGGAGUACGACCGCAAGGUUGAAACUCAAAGGAAUUGACGGGGGCCCGCACAAGCGGUGGAGCAUGUGGUUUAAUUCGAAGCAACGCGAAGAACCUUACCAGGUCUUGACAUCCUUUGACCACUCUAGAGAUAGAGCUUUCCCUUCGGGGACAAAGUGACAGGUGGGUGCAUGGUUUGUCGUCAGCUCGUGUCGUGAGAUGUUGGGUUAAGUCCCGCAACGAGCGCAACCCUUAUUGUUAGUUGCAUCAUUUAGUUGGGCACUCUAGCGAGACUGGCGAUGACAAACCGGGAGGAAGGUGGGAUGACGUUCAAUUCAUUCAUGCCCUUAUUGACCCUGGGGCUUACACACACACCGUUG